AGUGAACGCUGGCGGUAGGCCUAACACAUGCAAGUCGAACGGCAGCACAGGAGAGCUUGCUCUCUGGGUGGCGAGUGGCGGACGGGUGAGGAAUACAUCGGAAUCUACUUUUUCGUGGGGGAUAACGUAGGGAAACUUACGCUAAUACCGCAUACGACCUACGGGUGAAAGCAGGGGAUCUUCGGACCUUGCGCGAUUGAAUGAGCCGAUGUCGGAUUAGCUAGUUGGCAGGGUAAAGGCCCACCAAGGCGACGAUCCGUAGCUGGUCUGAGGGCAUAAGCAGCCGCAAUGGCACUGGGGCGCGGUCCAGACUCCUGCUGGAGAGAGCAGUGGGGAAUAUUGGACAAUGGGCGCAAGCCUGAUCCAGCCAUACCGCGUGGGUGAAGAAGGCCUUCGGGUUGUAAAGCCCUUUUGUUGGGAAAGAAAUCCAGCUGGUUAAUACCCGGUUGGGAUGACGGUACCCAAAGAAUAAGCACCGGCUAACUUCGUGCCAGCCGCCGCAGUAA
rnacentral:rRNA from 1 species